GUGACGGCGUACUUAUUGAAGAACGGACCGGCGAGUUAUGAUGUGCAGCAAGGUUAAAGGGAAACUGGAGCCGUAGCGAAAGCGAGUCUUAAUAGGGCGGAUUUAGUUGCAUGUUAUAGACCCGAAGCUGAGUGAGCUACCCAUGGUCAGGGUGAAGCGAUGGUAAGACAUCGUGAAGGCCCGAACCUACCAGAGCUGAAAAUCUGGAGGAUGAACUGUGGGUAGGGGCGAAAAACCAAUCGAACUCAGUUAUAGCUGGUUCUCCCCGAAAUAGCUUUAGGGCUAGCCUCAAGUGUUUAGUUAUGGUGGUAGAGCACUGAAUGGAAUAGGGACCCUACAAGGUUACCAACUCCAAUUAAACUCCGAAUGCCAUAACUUUAGAGCUUGGGAGUCAGUCUAGCAGGGAUAAGCUUGUUAGACAAGAGGGAAACAGCCCAGACCGUCAACUAAGGUCCCUAAAUAUGAGCUAAGUGGUAAAGGAAGUAAAACUGCUCAGACAACCAGGAUGUUGGCUUAGAAGCAGCAACCAUUUAAAGAGUGCGUAACAGCUCACUGGUCGAGUGAUUUUGCGCCGAAAAUGUAUGGGACUCAAGCUCAUUACCAAAGUUACGGAUUUAAGAUAUUAAUUUUUUAACAUCUUAAGUGGUAGGGGAGCAUUCUGUGUGGGUUGAAGCCAGAUUGUGAAAUCUGGUGCACUGCACAGAAGAGACAAUGCCGGUAUGAGUAACGAAAGACAAGCGAGAAACU
rnacentral:rRNA from 1 species